rnacentral:rRNA from 1 species
GUACACGCUGUGACUAGCAUAUCAAUAAGCGGAGGAAAAGAAACUAACAAGGAUUCCCCUAGUAACGGCGAGUGAAGCGGGAAGAGCUCAAAUUUGAAAUCUUAAAGGGUUUCCCUUUACGAAUUGUAGUUUAAAGAAGUGUUUUCUGUUGAGGUUUUGGUAAAAGUUCUUUGGAAUAGGACAUCAUAGAGGGUGAGAAUCCCGUAUUUGACCUUUACUUUCAACUUUGUGAUACACUCUCAAAGAGUCGGAUUGUUUGGGAAUGCAGUCCAAAAUGGGUGGUAAAUUUCAUCUAAAGCUAAAUAUUGGCGAGAGACCGAUAGCGAACAAGUACCGUGAGGGAAAGAUGAAAAGAACUUUGAAAAGAGAGUUAAACAGUACGUGAAAUUGUCAAAAGGGAAGCGUUUGACACCAGUGUUGUUUUUCUGAAAAUCAAUUAAAGAACUGUUUAUGCUAAGCUGUUUAGACUUUAUCAGCUAUCUGUUUAGUUUUGAGCUUUUCUUUAAUGCACUUUUCAGUUAACAAGUCAACAUCAAUUUCCUUUGCUGUAAAAAAGCUUGAGGAAGGUGGCUUGAGAUUCGUCUUAAGUGUUUAUAGCCUCUUGCCUAUGCAGUCGGAGAGAUUGAGGUCUGCAGCGUAGAUCCUUCGGGGCUAAAUGCAUUUGUGCUAAGUUAUAGCAUUUUAUAGACAACUUGUUGACUAUGAUUUGUCUUGUAGCUUACUCGCUUAUGUUAUUUUACCUACGCUUAGGAUGUUGAGUCGUAGAGCACGCAG